rnacentral:rRNA from 1 species
CUCACUUGUGGGGUGGAUUAGUGGCGAACGGGUGAGUAACACGUGAGUAACCUGCCCUUGACUCUGGGAUAAGCCUGGGAAACUGGGUCUAAUACCGGAUAUGACCUUUCACCGCAUGGUGGGGGGUGGAAAGCUUUUGUGGUUUUGGAUGGACUCGCGGCCUAUCAGCUUGUUGGUGGGGUAAUGGCCUACCAAGGCGAUGACGGGUAGCCGGCCUGAGAGGGUGACCGGCCACACUGGGACUGAGACACGGCCCAGACUCCUACGGGAGGCAGCAGUGGGGAAUAUUGCACAAUGGGCGCAAGCCUGAUGCAGCGACGCCGCGUGAGGGAUGACGGCCUUCGGGUUGUAAACCUCUUUCAGUAGGGAAGAAGCGAAAGUGACGGUACCUGCAGAAGAAGCGCCGGCUAACUACGUGCCAGCAGCCGCGGUAAUACGUAGGGCGCAAGCGUUAUCCGGAAUUAUUGGGCGUAAAGAGCUCGUAGGCGGUUUGUCGCGUCUGCUGUGAAAGACCGGGGCUCAACUCCGGUUCUGCAGUGGGUACGGGCAGACUAGAGUGAUGUAGGGGAGACUGGAAUUCCUGGUGUAGCGGUGAAAUGCGCAGAUAUCAGGAGGAACACCGAUGGCGAAGGCAGGUCUCUGGGCAUUAACUGACGCUGAGGAGCGAAAGCAUGGGGAGCGAACAGGAUUAG